AAGAAGAGAUCAGUUGGAGAAGAGUUGAGUGAUAAGCAGUUCAAUGAUAGGCAGUUGGAAGGGAUGCGGUUGGAGUUAGAGAAGCUCGACUGAGCUGACGUGGAUUAAUGUGAAGGGAAGCUUAUGAGAGUAUAAAUACUAAGAGAGUAAUUAGUUUACACUUUAUGCAAUUUGUAAAACAGAUUUUAGCUUGACGUUAUGAGUCAGCGUUGACCUUGAUGAGGUCUAGAUAUUUGUAAUUGCACUUUGUACUUCCCUUUACUUCAAUAAAUACUAUUCUACUACUCAGAUUCAUAACAAAUGAUGCGCUUGUGAUACUGGAUCGAAAUUUCACGUUGAGCUUCAAUCAUGGCGGAUCAAGAGAUACCGAUUGAUCCUUGGGUGGCGAGAUUACAAGACGAUGUCGACAUUUUGCGUAUUGGAUGCGACAAAUUAGCUCAAGCAAUUCGAGGUUCGACGGAGAGAUUCGACGGAGAGAUUCAAUUCCUUGGAGAAGCAGAUCAUCAACAUCAGAACGGAGUCGAAUUCGAAGAUCGGAGCUCUAGAACGACGGAUGAUCCUGAUCAGUGGAACCCUCGCUCGAAUCGAGGCUCACACGUUCGUUCCACAACGAAGCGGUAAGGAGAUUGCGUCGACGCCAACAGAUCUGGAUAAUCAGAUACUUCGCCAGAGACACGACUCCCUCCGUCGUAUCCACCGCUAUAGUUUUCUUCAUUUAAUGUUGAGAUUUUGGCCAUAACACCCAGUGGUUACGUGCUCGACAGUUUGAGAGUGUUGUCAAGCCAAAGAUCCACUAUAUGCGACUACUGGGCCUGGGAUAUGGAAAGUCACAGGUGCAAGGAAGUAUCUCAAUGAACAGAACCGAACAUUAAUAUUGGUGAAUAUGCGUGAUAAAGAUGGUUUUGAUUCGUCGAUGCCUCAUAUGAGAUAAUUUUUAAUUCAUAGGUACUUUGGAGGUUGAAGGUCCCCAAGAAUUAUGGUGUUGAUUCCGGUGGCAAGUCUUGGAUCCCAUGUUACAAAAGAAACUUGACCUGGGAUGCUGAGCCUCUAAUUAAAUAUGAGCCUCUAAAGAUACAUAUACAUGAUGUUGGUACAAGAAAGAGUACCGAAAGCAGAAUAAAACUUUCCAUGCUUUUGCCAUGGAAGCUAACAAAGCCUUUCAUGAGGAGUAUAAGGUCAAGAAGAAGAGGCAGCUAUUGCCAUAUGCAGCAUGGGUAAGGGAAGAUAUAUUGUCGUCUGAGAUAAAUCACGUCCAUGAAAGGAAGUGGAGGCUAAAGCAAUGGCUAGGGAAAUAUGAGAAUAGCUUGAGAGGAGAAUCUGAUUCAAGGGUUUAAUAUAGCAGACUGGCUGAAGGGGAGUGAUAGAGAGAGGGGACAUUGUUGUGAUGAAGAUGGCUGGUGAAGAAACCAAAUUUAAUCUUGAUCCCGAGGCUGAUCAAGACCGGAGCGAAUUUUUUAUUGUGAGUUGUUCCUUGAAUUCCAUUAUAACAGGUGGCAAAGAUGUUGAUAUAGAUGCGAAAAACGAGAGAUGUUUGUUGAAGAAGUAAUGGAGUUAGUGGAAAUUAAACCUCUUAAAAACUCUAUACUUGGCCUUCCUCGAGUUAAUGGUCGUUUGCCGGAACAAAGGAAAAGGCUUACUAUUUCAGUUGAAUUAGUAGCGCUUUCUUUAAUCUUCAUGGACGAGCCUACAUCUGGUAUGCAAGGGCUGCCGCCAUUGUUAUUCUUAGGGCAUCACAUUUUCAAAUCCGUCGAUGAGGUUUGCCCAUGGAAUACUCUACUUUUGAGUCCCGAAACCAGAAUACAUUUGACAAAUCAUCUUUGGAUUAAUGCAAGUAUGCAACUUCUGUUGAUGAAACGAGGAGGGUAAGUUAUAUAUGCUGGAAGUCUAGGGCAUCACUCAAAAAAACUCAUCAAAUAUUUUGAGGCUACUGAAGGGGUUCUGGACGGACACUAUCCUGCCACGUGGAAGCUUGAUGUCACCACUUUUUCAAGGAAGUCAAAAAUGAGCUUUGACUUUGCUCAAAUAUUUGACAACUUAAGGUGCAGAGAACAAGAUCAGUUAAGAACAGAAACAGCUUCAUGGGAAACGAAGUCAACCAAAGGGAGGAUUUGAUUACUAUGCCGUUCAUCCUUGGUAUCAGUUCGUUUUGAACUUAUAGCUCUCUAACUAAUAGUUCACUUCGACACUACAAGAAAACACAAAUUUAACGACGGCCAAAAUCGUCGUUAUUUCCUCGGAAAAGAAGGCUUACGAGGAAAUGGCGAUGAAAGGCGUUUCGUCGUUAUAUGAUUGUCGUAAGAGAAGAUUCGUCGCCAUUUCCUCGUUAAUUAGCGAGGUUAUAUUUUCCUCGUAAAGAAGAAUUAAGUUUUCGUCGUAAAGACCACGUGGGGUUUCCACGUAACGCGGUCGUUGUGCUUCCUCGUAAGAAACUCGUAAAUGAUUCGUCGUAAAAGACCCGCAAAAACCUCUAAAUAAAUUCGUCGUAAUAAAAACGUAAGGAACACGAAAACAAUUCGUCGUAAUAGAAUCGUAACUAAAUCCACGUAAAAUCCUCGUUAAUUGUUCCUCGAUAUUUCGUCGUUAAUUUUCCUCGUUAAUACAUCGGGAAUUAGCGACGCAAUUACUUUGUUUUCUAUUUACUGAAUUUAUAAAUAAAAAUUAUAUUUAUUUAAUUUAUUAAUAA